rnacentral:rRNA from 1 species
GAUGAACGCUGGCGGCGUGCCUAAAACAUGCAAGUCGAGCGGUAAGGCUCUGCACUUAGUGUUUGAUCGAAGUAAUUUAUUACUACAGUAGACCAAUUGGAACCUUGGCGGGUGAAGAGCGGAAUAGGAAGAUCGAAUUAUAAGUGUAGAGUACACGAGCGGCGGACGGGUGAGUAACACGUGGGAAUCUACCCCAAACUGAGGGAUAAGCACCGGAAACGGUGUCUAAUACCGCAUAUGGUCUUCGGAUUAAAGCUUCGGCGGUUUGGGAAGAGCCCGCGUAAGAUUAGCUAGUUGGUGAGGUAAAGGCUCACCAAGGCGACGAUCUUUAGCUGGUUUGAGAGGAUGAUCAGCCACACUGGAACUGAGACACGGUCCAGACUCCUACGGGAGGCAGCAGUUAGGAAUUUUCCACAAUGGGCGCAAGCCUGAUGGAGCAACGCCGCGUGCAGGAUGAAGGUUUCGGAUUGUAAACUGCUUUAUGUGUGAAGAAUAUGACGGUAACAC